AUGCUCAUUUUGGCAGCAUAUAUACUAAUAUUGGAAUGACACAGAGAAGAUUAGCAAGGCCCCUGCAGAGGGUGAUAUGCAAAUUCAUGAAGUGCUCCAUAUUUUA
ensembl:snRNA U6 U6 spliceosomal RNA